UACGUAGGGAGCAAGCGUUGUCCGGAAUCAUUGGGCGUAAAGCGCGCGUAGGUGGCUUCGUAAGUCCGUUGUGAAAGUCAAAGGCUCAACCUUUGAAAGCCGAUGGAUACUGCGGAGCUAGAGUACGGAAGAGGCGAGUGGAAUUCCUGGUGUAGCGGUGGAAUGCGCAGAUAUCGGGAAGAACACCCGUGGCGAAGGCGGCUUUCUGGACUGUAACUGACGCUGAGGCAUGAAAGCGUGGGGAGCAAACAGG
rnacentral:rRNA from 1 species